UACGGCGGUUAUGGCGAGAGGGAAAUACCCGGUCCCAUUUCGAACCCGGUCGUUAAGCUUCUCAGCGCCGAU
rnacentral:rRNA from 1 species